rnacentral:rRNA from 1 species
GACGAACGCUGGCGGCGUGCUUAACACAUGCAAGUCGAGCGAUGAAAUCCCUUCGGGGAUGGAUUAGCGGCGGACGGGUGAGUAACACGUGGGUAACCUGCCUCAAAGAGGGGGAUAGCCUCCCGAAAGGGAGAUUAAUACCGCAUAACAUUAGUUUUUCGCAUGGAGGACUAAUUAAAGGAGUAAUCCGCUUUGAGAUGGACCCGCGGCGCAUUAGCUAGUUGGUGAGGUAACGGCUCACCAAGGCGACGAUGCGUAGCCGACCUGAGAGGGUGAUCGGCCACAUUGGAACUGAGACACGGUCCAGACUCCUACGGGAGGCAGCAGUGGGGAAUAUUGCACAAUGGGCGAAAGCCUGAUGCAGCAACGCCGCGUGAGUGAUGAAGGCCUUCGGGUUGUAAAGCUCUGUCUUUUGGGACGAUAAUGACGGUACCAAAGGAGGAAGCCACGGCUAACUACGUGCCAGCCGCCGCAGUAACAC